UCUUUUCAUUAUUGCAGUUUGCAUGUUGAUCAGGUUUUUUUUUUUUUUGAUGUUUAAAUGAUUUAAGAUCUGGGAUCAGAGAGGAUUGUUGACAAAAGCUAAAUUGUUUCUAAUAUGCAUUAAUGAGUGCUUAAGAUUGUCUGCUGCUUUUCAUGAUCCAUAAUAAAGUACUUUACGUUUAGCAAUGGCCCAGACAUUGGUAGCAAAGGAUUUGCAGCAGUUUAAGGUGAUAAAGGCUGUAGUUGUAGCCAUACUAAGUAUUGGAAGUGAGGCCAGUAACAAGUUUAGAAUAGGAAAGAUACAGGAUCAGGGGAUAAUAAAAAAAAAGAAAGUGAAAUUGUUGGAGCCGAUAUUAAGAGUUUGUAAAAAAGAUUUGUUUGAUCCAGAUGUUAUACCUGUUCUUAUACUGAGAUGUUAUGAAAAGAGAACGAUUCGAGCAGGAUGGAAAGGUACCCUAUACCUUGGAUGUGAAGGAAACAACUCAGCAGUAAGAGAUCCAUGAAUGUUUUUUUUUUUUGCACAGAUUCAGUUUCAAACUCAACUUAAAAAAAAUUUCUCUCUUGACUGACCUGAAAAGGAUAAAUUUGGUUUCUUGUCCUCAUUCUCUCUCUUUAAUAUCUCACCCAGGAAAAGCUGGCAUUUUGAUAUUUCAGUUAAGUACCUCUAUAUUGCUGUUUUUGCACAUUUUUAGUUUUGAUUAAAAAAAAAACAACUGCUGUUUUAACCUAAAUGUGUUAAUCCGUAGGAGGAAAACACUUAGUCGGUCCCUCAGCAGCACCGGAGCAGCAGGUUGUCAGUGGUUCCCAACACAGCAGUGGAGAGGCUACACGUGGACCAUGCAUGCUGCAAAGUUGGAUGGGUGGUGGGCUCCUCCACUUGACUGAUGGCUGUCUAUUGAUUCACAGUGAGACAGAAGAAGAUGGAGGCUAGUAAGUCAGUAAGUGCUCCCUUUCCCUGUUGUCAUGAAUAAUGGAAAGGUGGCAGCAGCAGCAGCAGCAGCAGCAGCAGCAGCAGCAGCAGCAGCAGCAGCAGGAGAGGAUCCGCGUGAUAGCAGGCACUGGUGCUGUUCUCACUGUAUAACAGAUUGACAAGUAGAGUCCUGUCUUAAUGCAACUCUAGUGAGUUUCUUCUGUCUGGGAUUGUGGGAAGACACAUGGAAGACCUUGUGAUGUUUAUGGCUGUAAGGCAAGUGUACAAACCACUGUUCCAUUGCGUUUCCUAUCAUUAUUUUCAGUGUCUUAUUAAUGAAGCCUGCUGUCAGUAUUUUAGGUUACAGUCCGGUUUGGAGGAAAGUUACUGAUACAGCAAGCUAUCAUCAAUGUCAAUCAUUCAACCGUAUCUCCUCACCAUCGAAACAUAAUCUGUUCUGUGGAAGACAGCUUUUUUUUUUUUUGUCUGACGUUGUAGUAUAGCACACAGGUGCUCAAAAGGAGGUAUGCAACCCCUAAGUGGUCCAUGGAUGUACUGCAGAAGGGUCAUGAAAUUUCUUGGUUGCUUAGACAAUAUUUAAUGUUUUAAUUAAAUCUCAGUACAUUAUGGUCAACCUAACAUCUUGUAACAAAUGGAUAAAUUGCAGUUGAUGUAUUUGACUUUUGGUCAAAUCCCUCCAUUAGUUUGUUCAUGGCCUAGAAACACUGAAGACCCCUGGUGUUGAAACCCCAUAAAGUUGCGGCAGUAAUAUCAUGUGUUAUAAACUUAGCAUGUUAACAACAUGGAUCUGUCAGUUUUGUUUUCGAUUGUCUCAGGUUUAUUGCCCACAGACAGCGUUCAUCCCUGCCUCAUAGACACUUCGAUGUUAUUACUUAUUACCCCGUGACAGUGUUAUCCAUGUUCUAUUCAGUGUUCUCCACCCCUGAAUGACGACCCUCCACCUUCCCGCAGGUUAAUGUUGUGUAUAAAUCACCAUGUUUUCUCCUGUAAUCUCAGCUCAGUCUCGGGUCUUUCUGGCUGUAGCGCAGCGAUAGCCCCUCAUAUUAUUAGCAACAGCAGUAUAAGGCUGCGGCUGGCUACAGUAUUAGAUUGCUAAUAAGAAGUAAUUUGCCUACACACACGCAUACACAUACACAUACACACACUCAGCCAUCCAGUGCAUCCUUGUGAGACAAUAUUUCACAGGCAAAUCUGCCGAGCGUGCAAUAUCGCUCUUGCAGUUUGGACCUUCCCAUUACCGGGAUAGGCUGGUGAGGGCAGUAAAAACCUAUUACCCCUGCCGCUCCAAUCCCCGUAAUUGACUGCACAUCUCUAGCGUUUGCCAGGCACAAGCCCCUCCAACCAGAACAUCUGUCAGAGUUCUGUGGCAGCGGCCAGCUGGAUGGUGAGUUCCAGGCGCUCCUGCUGCAGUGGUGGUGGAGGAUGAUGGAUAGAUGGUACAUCAACUGCUCUACGCUCUACAAUGUGUGAUUCACAAAGCGGCGGAAUCUUUUUCAAGGCUCAGUCAAGUGGUUCUGACAAGACUUUCCUGUAGUUAGUCAGAAUGUUCCAAGACCAAAAAUCCAGAAAAUCAUCCGAUGGAGUUCAAUCUGUGAGAAAGCAUGACAACGGCAACAAUUGUCACCCCAAGAGGAACCACAUACUUGGCGCCUCCAAGGGGCGGCCUGUUGAAGCACAUCUGCUGUUACGCAAGAAUUUACACAAGUGUGGGACCUGUGCAUUCAUCUACCAUAAAACCAAUGGAAGAAUCAUCACCGUGCCGAGACUUUUCCCUGCACUGCAGACCUGUGAGCACUGCAGAGGGUGACAGUGGGACAGUGUCAGUUUUCAGCCAGCGUCACAUGUCUCCACCGUCUGGCCUGACACGUCGGCAGGUGCAAAGGAACGAUUAAAUCGGAAGGUACCAGAACCUACCAUGAUGGAGUAAACCAGCGCCACGAUGCUGACGGGCCACACUGGGCAGAAGCAAGAGAAGAUGACCAGCAGCAGGUAAUCCUUGGGCAUCGGGGUCUCCUGCAC